rnacentral:lncRNA from 1 species
UCAUCAACAUGUGCUCACUAUGAGUAACAAGUUAAGAAAAUGCGCUCACUUGGGGAAAGUAGGAAGAAAGCUUGAGGAGAUGAGCGAAGAAGGGCAGAUGAGUGAAGAAGGGUCAGAUAGAAGAUGCAGGCAGGAAGGAAGCUUGUCAGUGGUCGGAGGAGGACCAGGUGAGUGUGUCACUGAGGAGGCCAAGAAAGUUGAAAUUUUCAAGAUGAGAGAGAAUGGUCAAUGGCGGCCAGUGUCACAAAGAAUCCAAGUAAGGGAAGACCAGAAACAUGUCCACAGGAUUUGGCAGGUGAGCCUUGCCACAGCAAUUUCAGCUAAGUAAUGAGAACAGAAGCCUGGCUGAGAGAGAUUAAGAACGGACUUUACUGGAAGAUGAGAAAGAGCACCAUGAAGCAAAGUGAUAACACAAGGAGAAUGCAGCUCUGUCCUGGAAGGAGGGUUGACGACUGACAGAUGAUACAUGUUGAGUCAAUGGAAUGAGGCAGUUGCAGGCUAUUGUUGGAACAAAAGGAGGUCAAGUUUUAUUCUUUUCUCCUGCUGGGACAGAAGGAGUUGGUCACAACUUUUCUUUAAAAAAAAAGGAAAAGAGGAAUGCAUUCCUAAAUCAAGGCUUCCUGGGGCAGCGAGAACAAUUGCAGCACUCCUCAGCUACACUAUCUCUGUUAGUGGACAAACGCUGCUAACUUUUUAAGCUGAACUUGGAAUCUUCUUGGGCUUGAGCUGUCACUCUAAGAAAGUUCUUUAAAAUGCAGAUUAGCCACAGGCAUCUCAUUUUAUUAAUUUCCUCUUGGAAAUAACAAAAUGGCUAUGAAAAGACAAAACUGUGUACAUUCAUAAGGUUUUAUAUGGAGGUCUGUAGAAUGCAAUGAUCACGAAGUAAGUUUCCUAUCUGUAAAAAUGGCCUUGGAGUUCUUACCAGCUUGCUCUUCAAAACAAAAAAUAAAAAUAAAUAAAUUGUAUCAAAUCCAUCUUGGAGCAGAAGGUAAAUUGGAAAAAUACAAAAAGGCUGAGGAUUAAAUAAAUGCACUUCUUUGAAACAGAUGAUGACAUUUUCUAGGCCCAAUUCAGAUGAUGCAGAGCUUCCUUUUGCAAAGCAGCACGCUACGCAACAAAUGGCCUGACGGGCCUUUGGGUUUAAAUCUCAGCUGACAUCUCUCACCAAGUGUGGAAGAAUGAUUGCAUUAAUUCCCCAGUUCCUUGCUCCUUCCUGUAUCCAGGUUCUGACUACCAUCCCAGCCAUGUUACUUUCUUUGACCAAAGGGAUGUUAUCAAACAUGUCACAAGCAAAGAGAUUAGAAACUGUGAGUUUCCAUUUGUGUCUUUGCCCUCAACGACGGCCAUAAAAAUAUGCCAGAGCUAGUCUACUGAAUGAUGAGAGACAACUGGAACAUAGGUGAGAUCACCUGAUCAUCUCAUCCUAAACAAUCCUAAUCUGCUGACAGUCAGCUGACUUCCAGGCAUGUCAGGGAGCCCAGCUCAGACCAGAAGAACUGCCCAGCUGAGCUCAGCCUAAAUCACUAACCUGCAGACUUGUGAGCUGAAUAAACACUUAUUGUUCCAAGCCACCAGGUUUUGUGGUUAUUUAUUAUGAAGCAUUAUUGUGGCAAAAGAUAACUUAUAUACUACAUGAUACUGGAUGAAUCCCUUUACCCCACAAGCUUUAGUUUUCUUUAAUAUUCUCAUAUGCAAAAUGAGUGUACAUUUUCUUCUCAAAGUAGAUGUCACAAUUAAAUUCAUUAAAUUAAAUAAGGUAUAUGAAAUUAUUUAACACAAUCGUGGCACAUAACUGGCAUGUAAUCAAUGAGAGUUCCUUCUAUGCCUCACAUUCUUCCUUUAGAUCUCUCUCAUCAGAAGAAACGUCUUCUUAAUGUCCUCACUAUUAGUUUCCAUUCACCAGACACCACAUGAUUCAUAGUUGUGCGCUGUUUGGAGCACUGUGCUGGCAUCCAUUGGGUACGUCGCCAACACUAAACAGAAAGAUUCUUGUGAUACCUGGAAAAAUCCUGCGAUGUGCUUGAAAUUUCCCAGGUUAUUGCAAAGAUUCCAUUUACUUCAGAUCACAGCUCCAGGUUGAAGCCCAGAGAAAUGGCACUGACUUUCCCCUUCCUGAAGGCUGUCUCUGAAGAUACAAGCCCACGUUUCACUGUUUUACUUCUUCACUCCUCUAAUAACAUUUCUUGGGAUCACCUUUCACAGGAACUGCUUGUAUCCAAGUUUUUGCUGAGGUCUGCUUCAGGAAAAUCCAAACUUCAUCAAUCCCAGAUACCCAUCUUUCUAUGGAACC